AAAUUACAUUUUAUACAUCUUUAUUUGCCCCUUUCAUAAUUGAUUUCCUCAAGGUACAUCACAAAUAUUUGGUGGUAUCUUUGGAAUUUUAACUUCUAAGAAUUUGUGAUCACCAUUGCUCAUUAGUGCCUCUGUUUUCUUCCAGUCUGCAUUUUCAGGCAGCUCGAUCCUCCGAACACAGCCGUGUUCCCACCAGUUCCCCACUCUCCAGUCCUUCGUCCCCGUCUCGACUUUCAGCCUAAAUUGCCCACUUACCUCUAAAACUUUUCCAUCCUCAACGGAGACACAAAUGAUACCUUUACCAACACCUGGAAUUUCUGUUUUCAACACAUAAUCUGUCUCAGUUUGAAUCCAAUCAACUUUGUAAUGAUUAUUAUUGGAACUUUUUGCAUUGGAUAAUAACACAUCUGAAUCAAAUUCCCAUAGUGGAAAUGCAUCAGAAGGAUCAAAAAAUUUGCCAAACAAAAGUGGACUAAAAAAUGAACCUUCACACAAAGCUUUAUGUGUUAUAAAAUUCCCUUUGUUCAUGAAUUUCACAAAAACAUCUUCUUUUAAUGGAACACACCAUUUUUUUGGGUUUG
rnacentral:misc_RNA from 1 species